UAUGAGAUUCUCGUCCAUCUCAUAUCGAGUACCAUGAUGGAAAACGCGAGCGAUCCGACUGAAAGCACGAUAAACCAAACCAUAGACGGUUUUUUCACCGGUCAGCCGUACAGAACUGUUAAUCAGUUCAUAGCUACUAACCGUUAUUUUUUCCAAUCGGAUCGGCCGUUAUAAUUGUUCAAACCAAAUGACGUCUCGAUAAUAUACAUCGAAAUAUUAGUACACACAUACCGUUUUUGUUAUUAUGACAUGCAGCAAUGAUUUUCAAUGCAUUACUUUGUACGUCAACUAGGAUUAUGUGAAAAACACAAGACUGCCGGUUUAGCUGCGACAGCACA